UAAACACAACAACAAAACAACAACAACAUCAUCAGAGUUAAUGUAAACAAGGAUCAAUAAAGGUCACAGUUAAAGUAAAUAAAGACUGAUCAGGUGACUCAAUCAGGUUAUUGACGAGGGACAAAGAGCCAAUCAGUGACACACCGGAAGUGAGGUGGACCGAAACCGGAAGUGAUCGGCGAACUGACCGGAUACAAGAAUAAAAGUUUCAUGAAAACAAGAAGAAGAAGUUCGUUGUGAGUUAUAAGCGCCAUCGUGUGGAUGUCGGUGGCUCCUGCGACCGCUGAGAGUUCCUCUUCGGUCGGUUGUAUUUCUACAAUCUUUAACAGACAGAAACCCGCUGAGGGAUCAGAAACUCUCUGCGACCUGUGAGGAUGCAGUGAACUCUGGUACACAGGAGGACUGCUGCUGAGGCUCUGUGGGAACUAUGGAAGAGUCUUUCCAGUCUUACUGUUGACUAUAAAUAUCUGCAGCGUCAGUGGAGGACAUCAUCUCCUCUGCGGCCAAAGUAAAAAGAUAAAAGCGCCCGGAGAAGAUGUUCUAGUGUGAAGGGAGCAUGGUGGCGCAGUGUGCGUGGGAGCGGCCAGAAUGCAGAAGUGUCUG